GAUGAACGCUGGCGGCGUGCCUAAUACAUGCAAGUCGAGCGAACAGACGAGGAGCUUGCUCCUCUGACGUUAGCGGCGGACGGGUGAGUAACACGUGGAUAACCUACCUAUAAGACUGGGAUAACUUCGGGAAACCGGAGCUAAUACCGGAUAGUAUAUUGAACCGCAUGGUUCAAUAGUGAAAGACGGUUUUGCUGUCACUUAUAGAUGGAUCCGCGCCGCAUUAGCUAGUUGGUAAGGUAACGGCUUACCAAGGCGACGAUGCGUAGCCGACCUGAGAGGGUGAUCGGCCACACUGGAACUGAGACAUGGUCCAGACUCCUACGGGAGGCAGCAGUAGGGAAUCUUCCGCAAAGGGCGAAAGCCUGACGGAGCAACGCCGCGUGAGUGAUGAAGGUCUUCGGAUCGUAAAACUCUGUUAUUAGGGAAGAACAAAUGUGUAAGUAACUAUGCACGUCUUGACGGUACCUAAUCAGAAAGCCACGGCUAACUACGUG
rnacentral:rRNA from 1 species